GAGACAAAGAGAAGGCUUUUUGCUGGGGGUCAGGGCAGGCGUGGUGAUACAGCGGGAUCGAAGUCCAGAGUCCGAGCCCUUCCAGAGCACCUACUGGCUUAGAACCUCAGCUUUUUAUCUUCCCUGUGUGAAUCAUAAGAAUAUGUGUCUGGACCAAUCAGGAAUAAAGUGGUGACCGGCAUAGAGAGCUGUCGUGAGGAAUGUGAAGAUUCAGGGGCCAGAUAAUGGAGGACUUGGCACGAGUUGGAGUCUUGGCACUGUGAUGUCACUAGCGGAUCCUGACCAGGGAACACACAACACUCGGUGCCUGUGAUGAAGAAAACCUGGCAUCCAGAAGACCAGCAGGAAGGAGCCGCCUUCCGACACCUAGCCUCGCCGCAGCUCCCAGGCAAUGACAAUGACAACAGAGAAUAGCAGGAAAGAAUGACAGCCAGUUGUCCUUCAGCCCCGAGGUGAAGAAGUUCCCACCUCUCAGAGAUCUCCCCUUGCUGCUUCAGGAAGCUACGCCUGCUGCUCCACUCCUCCACCAGGGACUGAAACAGAAGAUUGCCCAUCCGAAUAUUAAAUGAUAAAUUACCAUGAUCGGAACUAGAGCAAAGAAGGACA